GACGAACCGUGCGAACGUUGUUCGGAAUCACUGGGCUUAAAGGGCGCGUAGGCGGCCCGCCGCGUCCGGGGUGAAAUCCUCCCGCUCAACGGGAGAACGGCCUCGGAUACGGGCAGGCUGGAGUUCGGUAGGGGAGACUGGAAUUCCUGGUGUAGCGGUGAAAUGCGCAGAUAUCAGGAGGAACACCGGUGGCGAAGGCGGGUCUCUGGGCCGAUACUGACGCUGAGGAGCGAAAGCGUGGGGAGCGAACAGG
rnacentral:rRNA from 1 species